CCAAACUUGGUCAUUUAGAGGAAGUAAAAGUCGUAACAAGGUUUCCGUAGGUGAACCUGCGGAAGGAUCAUUACAAGUCGGCGAUCUCGCCGGAUCUCGGGGCAGCUCGCUGCUCCGGGGCACCCACCCUUUGCAUACGAAUACCAACGUUUCCUCGGCGGGCUUGCCCGCCAACGGGGACCCAACCAAACCCUUUGCAAUGAGAAGUCUACGUCUGAAAACAAACAAAUCGUUUACAACUUUCAACAAUGGAUCUCUUGGCUCUGGCAUCGAUGAAGAACGCAGC
rnacentral:misc_RNA from 1 species